AUCAUAAUUUACCAACUUGUAAUUAUAAAUUGUAAAUACAAAUUGAUACAUUAUGAUGU
rnacentral:pre_miRNA from 1 species